rnacentral:lncRNA from 1 species
CAAGCGCCAAGCUUCCAUCCGGACUUCAAGGCCAGUGGCUGGGUCUGGUUUUCUCAACACGGCCUCCUAGUCUCCUUCCCGCUUGGGCAUCUGUUUUUCUUAUAUAGACCCUGAAGCCGCCCGUGAUGUUCUGUAAGCAGGUUCCGCUUCAGAAUCAGAGGUACUUAAGAGGGAACCUGGAUGCUAGACCUGCCCUUGCUGCUGGCCUCAGUUUCUUUACCUGUAAAACAGGGAUUUUGGAACUGUUAAAUUAAAUCAAACUUAAAAGAAUUACAACUUAAAGCUGCUGGAACUUUACAUGAUCCCGAGCCUUGAGAGGAAUGUGGCUAUGCAGCCUGAGUCAUGUGGCAUGCAGAUGCAACCUCUGCCUUUUUCCGCUGUAAAUAAUUAAGAAGACCAAGUAGCAUCCAAGGUAACAGAAUUUUGGAGAAAUUCCAAAUUGCAUCUCUUGUCCUUCUGCCUGCUGUUGUGGGAUGAUGUGUAGAGGAAGAUAGUCUUCCUCUACACAGCAAGAAGAUCCCUACCAGAUGCAGCCCUCUCAACCUUGGACUUCCUGACAUCCAGAACUGGUCACCUAAGCUGAAGAUUCCCUUGAGAACAAGUACUGUCCUGUGGUUUCAUGGCCUUUCUUCCAUUUGUGGUUCUUGCCAAGCGGAAUUUAAAUGACAUCUUAUCAAGAUGGAUAAACCCUAGUUUCCCAGUGCUGGAAUAUAGAAAAUGGAUGGACAAGUAAAUCCCACUCAGCACCCAUAGCCCAGGCAUGGGGACCUCAACACAUUUGAGCCGCAGAGAUCACCUUUCAUUGUGAAUAGCUCUGAGAUGAUACUUCUGGUUGGAUGUCUUUUUGUCACUUCCGGCUGGAUCUACCAUGAAAGAUUUCUGAAUCCAGGAAGAGAGAUUGACUGGGCAACAUGUUAUUCAGGCUCCAUCUCAGGAACAGCCGAUGAAAGAGAUGCACAGGACAAGGAACAGGACCUUGCCCUGUCACUCAGGAUGGAGUUCAGUGGUCCAAUCAUGGCUCAUUGUAGCCUCAAACUCCCAGGCUCAAGCAAUCCUACCACGUCAGUCUUCCCAGUAGCUGGCAGGGUCUCACUCUGUCGCCCAGGCUGGAGUGCAGUGGCAUGAUCUUGGCUCACUGUAGUGUAGACUUCCCAGCCUCAAGGGAUCCUCCCACCCCAGACUCCCAAGUAGCUGGAAUUACAGGUCUCAUGCUCUCACUCAGGCUGCAGUACAGUGGCACAACCUCUACUCACUGCAGCCUCUACCUGCCAGGCUCAAGCAAUUCUCCUGACUUAGCCUCCCGAGUAGCUGGGAUUACAGGAAGUGACCUCACAAUGACUCAAGCUACCACAUACUGUUCAUUGUGAAAUGCCAGUUGAAGCAUAUGUCCUGUGAGCUUAGGGGUGCUACAAGUUGACCACUGCAGCAGUAAAGAUGAUUCUGAAGAAUGGCAUGGGAUGGAUCCUUUCGAAUGCACUUGAGCAGCGGUCUCCAACCACAGGGCCACAGAGCUGGAGGUGAGCAGCAGGUGGAUCUACCAUGAAAGACUUCUGAAUCCAGGAAGAGAGACUGACUGGGCAACAUGUUAUUCAGGAGAUGGGGUCUCACCCUGUCGCCCAGGCUUGAGUACAGUAGUGCUAUCACAGCUCACUGCAGCCUUGAACUCCUGGGCUAAGGAUCCUCCUACCUGAGCCUCCUGAGUAGCUGGGACUGUAGGGUCUCCCUCUGUUGUCCAAGGCUGGAGUGUAGUAGUGCUAUCACAGCUGACUGCAGCCUCAACCUUCCAGGCUGAAGCGAUCCUCCCAUCUCAACCUCCCACGUGGCUGAGACUACAGGCGCUUGCCACUAUGCCCAACUAAUAUUUGGAAUUUUCCUAUACGUGGAUUCCAGAGGGGUGACAGCGAAACGUGGGACCAUCCAGUUGCAGGAAAACGAGCUUAACACGCCCACUGAUUCUACAUUAUGGUCCUACCUCCCGGCAGCCUCUCCAGGCCCAGAACUUUCUCCAGUCGGCCUCCACAGACCAAGCUCAUGACUCACAAUGGCCUAUUUAGGCCCAUACCCUACCUCACGGCAGUCUCCGCAGAUGAGGCUACUGCCUCACAACAGCCUCCACAGGCACAGCUCCAUCGUUACAAUGGCCUCUUUAGACCCAGCUCCUGCCUCCCAGCCUUCUCUCUAGGCCCUGAACUUUCUCAAGUCGACGUCACCAGGCCCAGCUCAUGCUUCUUGGCAGCCUCUCCAGGCCCAGCUCUUCCUCCCGGCGGCCUCUGCAGGCCCAGACUGUCAUCAAGUCGGCCUGUCCAGGGCCAGCUCCUGCCUCCCGGCGCCCUCUGCAGGCCCAAGUCGUCCUCAAGUUGGCCUCCCCAGGCCCAGCUCCAGCCUCUCGGCGGCCUCUCCGGGUGCAAAAGUUCCUCGAGUCAGCCUCUCCAGGCCCAGCUCCUCCUGCCUCCCAGUGCCUCUUUCGGCCCAGCCCAGCUCAUGCCUCUGGGCGGCCUUCCCAGGCCCCGCUUUUGACUUUUGGCGGCCUCUGCAGGCCUCGACAAGGCCCGGCCUCCUGCCUCCCGAAGCCUGCACAGGCCCAGCCUCUGCCUCACAGCAGACUCUCCACGCCCAGCUAGCUCUCGCCUCACUGCGGCCUCCCCAGUCCAAAGCUCCUGCCUCUCGGCCGCUUCGGCAGGCCCAGCUCCCGCCUGCCAGUGCCUCUUCAGGCCCAUGGGGCUCAUUCCUCACAACGGCCUUUCCAGGCCCCGUUUUUCCCUUCCGGCGGCCUCUCCGGGCCCAGAACCUCCUCAAGUUGGCCUCUCCAGACCCACUUGCACCCUCCGGGCGUCCUCUCCAGGCCCAGCUCUUCCUCCCGGCUGCGUCUCCAGGCCCGACUCCUGCCUCCCAACAACCUCUUUGGACUCAGUGCCUGCCCAUCUCCUGGCGGCCUUGGUCGGCCCACAGCUUCCUCAAGCCAAGCUCCCCAGGCCCAGGUCAGGCCUCACGGUGGCCUCUCCAGGAUCAGCUCCUGCCCUCCGAUGGUGUCUCCAGGCCCCAAAUGGUCUCCGGCCAGUGGGCUCCUCCACGCCCAGCUUGGGCCUCCCGGCGACCUCUGCAGGCCCAAGUCGUCCUGAAGUCGGCCUCUCCCGGCCCUGCCUCCCAGCAAGUAAGCAAGCUUUUUUGGCUUAGCUCCUGCCCAGCUCCCAACCGCCUUUGUAGGCCCCGAACUUUCUCCAGCCAAGCUCUUCGGGCCCACCUCCUGCCUCCCGGUGGCCUGUACAGGCCCAGCUCUGGCUGGAGAACAGCCUCUGCAGGCCCCGCUCUUGCCUCCUGCAGAAACUUUGGGGUCUACAAACGCCGGCGAGAGCUGAGCCGAAAGAGCUUGCUUGCUGGGAGGCAGGAGCUGGGCCGGGAGAUGCAGCCAGGAGGAACAGCUGGGCCUGCAGAGGCCGCCAUGCGGGAGGCAGAGGCUGGGCCUCCUCAAGUUGGCCUCUCCAGACCCACUUGCAGCCUCCCGGCGUCCUCUCCGGGCCCAGCUCUUCCUCCCGGCUGCGUCUCCAGGCCCAACUCCGGCCUCCCAACAAGGUCUUUGGACUCAGCUCCCCCGCAGCUUCCAGCGGCCCUGGUAGGCCCACAACUUCCUGAAGCCAAGCUCCCCAGGCCCAGCUCAGGCCUCACGGUGGCCUCUCCAGGCUCAGCUCCUGCCCUCCGACAGCGUCUCCAGGCCCCAAACGGCCUCCGGUCGGUGGGCUCCUCUAGGCCCAGCUUGGGCCUCCCGGCAGCCUCUGCAGGCCCAAAUCGUCCUGAAGUCGGCCUCUCCAGGCCCAGCUCCAGCCUCCCGGCGGCCUCUGCAGGCCUAAGUCGUCCUCAAGUCGGCCUGGAAAUGGGCCUGGAAGAGCUGCAAGUCGGCCUCCCCGGGCCCAGCUCCGUCCUCUCGGCGGCCUCUCCAGGUGCAAAACUUCCUCGAGUCAGCCUCUCCAGGCCCAGCUCCUCCUGCCUCAGUGGCCUCUUUCGGCCCAGCCCAGCUCAUGGCUCUCGGCGGUCUUCCCAGGCCCCGCUUUUGACUUUUGGUGGCCUCUUCAGGCCCAGAACUUGACCUCCAGUCGGCCUUUGCAGGCCCGGCCUCCUGCCUCUCGAAGGUCUGCAUGGGCCCGGCCUCGGCCUCACAGCGGACUCUCCACGCCCAGCUAGCUCUCGCCUCACUGCACCCUCCCCAGUCCAAAGCUCCUGCCUUUCGGCCACUUCGGCAGGCCCAGCUCCUGCCUGCCAGUGGCCUCUUUAGGCCCAGCUCAUUCCUCACAACGGCCUUUCCAGGCCCCGUUUUUCCCUUCCGGCAGCCUCUUGGCCUCUAAUUUUUUUAUCUUUUGUGUAUAAAUCCCAAAUUAUGGAAUUUUGGAAUAUUUCCACCAUUAUAUAAAUAUUUUGGUAGGUA